rnacentral:tRNA from 2 species
GCGGAUAUGGUGUAAAGGUAGCAUUCGAGUCUUCCAAACUCUAGGCACGAGUUCAAGUCUCGUUAUCCGCU